AGAGCAUCCUGUCAGAGCCAGGAGGUGAGGAUCUGGGCUUUACUCACGUAUCUAACAAUUAUCCCGAACGGUACCAGAAGCAGGAAAUUAUGUAUUGCCCUAUAUAUGGCAUUCCCUCCCGGAGAGCACACCAUUUAUCACGGCUUUUUAAUCUCCUCCAUGUGCAUUGGAAGAUAAAACAUCUCUGCAAUAUUUCAGUGUUUGGAGAAGAUAAAAGCCCUGCGUACAUUUCCGUUUGUGUCACCCAGUUCCGCUACUGCGUCUAACUGGGUCAGAGUUCAGCAGGGUUUGAUACGCCUUCAGGAAUGUGGCUGUUUAUCUGGAGUUUCUGCGGACCCUCUGAAAAAAAUCACAUAAGUAACCCUACCCGGAAAAGCUGGAAACAUGCAUGUUUCUCUCAAUAUUUCCUUCUCCCAGCACUUCCUCUUUUUAAUGCUAGCCCAGUGUGCCUGGAGACAUUCGCUGAGCUAAGAGUGAAGAAGGCAAAGCCAGAAUUUAGAUCCUUGGACUGGCCGUGGAUGUCCUUUCCCUUAGAGAGGAGCCCCUAACUUCAUGCUGCAGCCCCCAAAUGGAAGCGCUGUCCCCACCUGGUCUGCCCUCAGGAGAGGCCUGAGAAAGAUGCUCUGGAUCCUGGAGAAUGGCCUAUCAGAAACUGUGUUACUCAGAGAAACAUAAGCAACAGGGCAAACCAAUAUAAACAGGAGCCAUACAAACCACAUGGCUCACAUGACUGUGGGGGAAUGCUGAGUCCAAAAUCUGUAGAUCAGGCUGGAAAUUCAAGUAGGAGUUGUCAUUGAGUCUUGAGUCUGAAGGUUGGAAACUCAGGCAGAAUUUCUACACUGUGGUCUAGAGGCAGAAUUCCUUCUUUUUUGGGAAAUCUCAAGUCUUUGUUCUUAAGACCUUCAACUGAUUGAAUGAGGCCCCCCACAUGAUGAGGAGUAAUCUGCUUUAGCUAAAGUCAACUGAUUGUAAAUGUUAAUCACGUCUGAAAAAUACCUUCUCAGUAACGCCUAGCGUAGUGUUUGACCAAACAGCUGGCACCAUAGCCUAGCAAAGGUGACACAUAAAUUUGACCAUCACAGAGACCAAGCACCCUGCUGACUGUGAGUCCAUAGUACCUUCUUCACAUGACAAGCAGUGAAUUCCAAGGCUACCUCUCGCCCUGCCUGUGCCUGGUGAGCUUGUGCAGCAGGCAAUUUCCUCUGUCAACUGGAUUCCAUCCUUUGGAGAAAAGCCAUGUAUGUCCCUUGCAGGAUGGCCAAGGUUUCUUUCUGUGCAUAUCUUCCUUUCUUGUGGCAUCACUUCCCUUCUUCCUGUCUCAGCUCUCUUGACCUCCCAUGCGGAGCACAGGGUCCUCUUCCACAACAUCAUGUUUAAAGAGCAAACUAUUUCAUAUACGUAUAAUAUACAUACAGAAAGAGCACAGACCAUAAGACCACAGCUUGAUGAAUUUUCACCAUGCAGCCUUCCUCAUCUAACCAGCCCUGGACCAAGAAACAGAGUAUUCCCACUUCUCAGAUGCUUCCCUAGUGCCACCACCCCUGUCACUACUCCCUGGCCCAAGGGUUAUCUCUCUCCUGACUGCUGGCACCACACAUUAGUUUCCCUUUAUUCUGA
ensembl:lncRNA